GACAGAGGGUGCAAACGUUGUUCGGAAUUACUGGGCGUAAAGCGUGUGUAGGCGGUCCACUAAGUCGGGUGUGAAAGCCCUGGGCUCAACCCAGGAAGUGCACUCGAAACUGGCGGGCUAGAGUAUCGGAGAGGUUGGUGGAAUUCGUCGGUGUAGAGGUGAAAUUCGUAGAUAUCGAGAGGAACACCGGUGGCGAAGGCGGCCAACUGGACGAAUACUGACGCUGAGACACGAAACGUGGGAGCAACAG
rnacentral:rRNA from 1 species